rnacentral:sRNA from 1 species
UCCGUAGGUGAACCUGCGGAAGGAUCAUUAAUAGUGCCCUCUGAUGCAAAUCAUUGGGUUAGAUCUGCUCUCUUCGCAAGAAGAGGGUUUCCAUACACACCGUGAACUGUGGCUUCGGCCAUCACAAACUGUUAUUAAUGAAUGUAAUAUCAUAACAAAAACAAAACUUUUAACAACGGAUCUCUUGGCUCUCGCAUCGAUGAAGAGCGCAGCGAAAUGCGAUAAGUAAUGUGAAUUGCAGAAUUCAGUGAAUCAUCGAAUCUUUGAACGCACCUUGCGCCCUUUGGUAUUCCGAAGGGCAUGCCUGUUUGAGUGUCAUGAAACCUCACCCCACUUGGGUUUUUGCCUGAGCGGUGGUGUAUUGGGUAUUGCCUUGCUAAAGGCUCGCCUUAAAGACAUAAGCACCUUGGAUGUAAUACGUUUCAUCCUUCUGGGUGGCUGAUAACCCCACAUAUUCAUGAUCUGGCCUCAAAUCAGGUAGGGCUACCCGCUGAACUUAAGCAUAUCAAUAAGCGGAGGAAAAGAAACUAACUAGGAUUCCCUUAGUAACGGCGAGUGAACCGGGAUGAGCUCAAAUUUAAAAUCUGGCGUCUUUCAGGCGUCCGAGUUGUAAUCUAUAGAGGCGUUUUCCGCGCCGGACCGCGUCCAAGUCUCUUGGAAUAGAGUAUCAAAGAGGGUGACAAUCCCGUACUUGACGCGACAACCGGUGCUCUGUGAUACGUUCUCAAUGAGUCGAGUUGUUUGGGAAUGCAGCUCUAAAUGGGUGGUAAAUUCCAUCUAAGGCUAAAUAUUGGCGAGAGACCGAUAGCGAACAAGUACCGUGAGGGAAAGAUGAAAAGCACUUUGGAAAGAGAGUUAAACAGCACGUGAAAUUGUUAAAAGGGAAACGCUUGAAGU